UGCUGGGAUUACAGAUGUGAGCCACCACGGCCAGCCUGAUUUGAUGUUUUAAAAAGCUGGAUUAUUCCCCCAAGAAAAUGGGAGACAUAAUAGGAGAUAAGAUAGAGAAAAAGAGACAAACAUUAUCAGGCUUCUCUCAGAACUAUAGAAUUAUGAAUCAUUGCUUCCUACCCAAGGCUGUUGUUUCAAAUUGCUUCAAGGCCUAAUACCAUUAAAUAGAAGGUCAGAUCGAUGAAUAGGUUACAAAAAUGAAGCAUGGAAUGGAAAAUCUCUUAUUGUCCCGUCACACUAUUUCAUCAGAAAAAAAUUUGAGGCGGCGGGGGGCAGAGUCUCACUCUGUUGCCCAGGCUGAAGUGCAGUAGCGUGACUAUGGUUCACUUCAGCCUCAACUUCCUGGGCUCAAGUGAUCCUCCCACCUCAGCCUCACAAGUAUCUGGGACUACAGGCAUGCUUCACCAUGGCUGGCUAAUUUUUAAAUGCUAUUUUUGUAGAGAUGGGGGUCUUGCUGUUUUGCCAGGGCUGGUCUCAAACUCCGUGGCUCAAGUGAUUCUCCCACCUUGGCUUCCCAAAGUGCUGGGAUUGGCCAGGCGUGGGGGCUCACGCCUGUCAUCCCAGUGCUUUGGGAGGCCAAGAGGGUAGGAUCACAUGAGCUCAGGAGUUUGAUCAGCCUGGGCAACAAAGAGAAACCCUGUAAAAAAAAUUAGCCAGGCUUGGUGCCACACACCUAGG
rnacentral:lncRNA from 1 species